GUAGAAAAAGACACUUCCAAAGGGUGUCAAUGACAAGAGAGAAAUAGACAUAGAGUGGUCACUUCAUUUACCAACCCUGGAACCGCAGACCUCUGGGCUUCCUGAUAAAGAAAAUGGGUACGGCCAAGACCAUAGACCUAGUGAUUGUCAGAUGAACAAUUAGACCCACAGAACCAUCCAAGCUACAGAGGACGCAUUCUGCCUUCCCUUGGAUCCUGUGGUUUGAGGAUGGAGGUCUAGGACCGUGGCAGGCUUUUUGUCCCAUGAGGGAAGGCCAUGGAGCUGAGGAAGGGGAAGAACACACACACCUAAUGGAAUCUCGAGAGAAAGUUCAGACAUCAAAAGACAGAAGCGACAGAGACCCAGGUCUGUGGGGACGCUGUAUGGCUGAGUCAAGUCUUGAUCAAAGUCAGCAUUAUAUCUGGACUUGCACAGUUUCUGAGCCUUGAAACUCCAUUUCGUUUAAGUGAGCUUUUAACUGUCACAGGCAGCUGCAUGCACACACAAGUCCAUGUGAUUAGAUGUUUCCAAGAGUCUGGAAUAACAUACCCCAAACUGUUAAUAGUGGUUACCCUAUAGAAGGGGAGUAGGAAGGUGUGUGUUGGGGUGGAGGAUGGUUUGCCAACUGGAAACUCACUCCAGGCUAACAUUUAUUGCUAGGCACCAUUCUAAACUUUGCCAGUAAUCCUCUCCCUAGAGGCUGAGGAAGACCACUUCUUCAAGCCCUAUUUAAUAGACAGCGUGGCCAGGCAUGGUUGCUCACGCCUGUAAUCCCAAAGUGCUGGGAUUACAGGUGGGAGCCACCGCACCCUGCCUAAAAUGCAAAAGAUUUUGAAUGGCGAGAAUGGCGACAUGAUGCCACAAGUGGAAAAUUCCACACCUGGCUGCAUGUAAUGGGUUGAAGUCAAAAUGCAGUCAAAAACUUUGUUUCAUGUACAAAAUUAUUAAAAACAUUGUAUAAAAUCACCUUCAGACUAUGUGUAUGUGAAACCUAAGUGAAUUUAAUGGCUAGACUUCAGUUGCAUUCCCAAGAUCUCUCAUUAUGUAUAUGCAAAUAUUUUGAAAUUCAACCUGGUUCCACACAUUUUAGAUAAGGGAUACUCAAGCUGUAAUUAACAAAUAAACUUUUCACAGUCCAAGCAGCCAAA
rnacentral:lncRNA from 1 species